rnacentral:rRNA from 1 species
AGAGCGAACGCUGGCGGCAGGCUUAACACAUGCAAGUCGAGCGGGUGUAGCAAUACGUCAGCGGCAGACGGGUGAGUAACGCGUGGGAACAUACCUUUUGGUUCGGAACAACACAGGGAAACUUGUGCUAAUACCGGAUAAGCCCUUACGGGGGAAAGAUUUAUCGCCGAAAGAUUGGCCCGCGUCUGAUUAGCUAGUUGGUGAGGUAACGGCUCACCAAGGCGACGAUCAGUAGCUGGUCUGAGAGGAUGAUCAGCCACAUUGGGACUGAGACACGGCCCAAACUCCUACGGGAGGCAGCAGUGGGGAAUAUUGGACAAGUGGCGCAAGCCUGAUCCGAGCCAUGCCGCGUGAGUGAUGAAGCCUAGGUUGUAAAGCUUCGUUUGUGCGGAAGAUAAUGACGGUACCGACAAAGAAUAACGCCCCGCUAACGUUCGUACGCCAAGCCAAGCCGAC